UACGGGGGGGGCAAGCGUUGUUCGGAAUUACUGGGCGUAAAGGGUUCGUAGGUGGCCAACUCAGUCAGACGUGAAAUCCCUCAGCUCAACUGGGGAACUGCGUCUGAUACUAGAUGGCUCGAGUGCAGGAGAGGAACGCGGAAUUCCAGGUGUAGCGGUGAAAUGCGUAGAUAUCAGGAGGAACACCGGUGGCGAAGGCGGGUCUCUGGGCCGAUACUGACGCUGAGGAGCGAAAGCGUGGGGAGCGAACAGG
rnacentral:rRNA from 1 species